rnacentral:rRNA from 3 species
AGAGUUUGAUCCUGGCUCAGGACGAACGCUGGCGGCGUGCUUAACACAUGCAAGUCGAGCGAUGAAGCUUCCUUCGGGAAGUGGAUUAGCGGCGGACGGGUGAGUAACACGUGGGUAACCUGCCUCAAAGUGGGGGAUAGCCUUCCGAAAGGAAGAUUAAUACCGCAUAAUAUAAGAGAAUCGCAUGAUUUUCUUAUCAAAGAUUUAUUGCUUUGAGAUGGACCCGCGGCGCAUUAGCUAGUUGGUAAGGUAACGGCUUACCAAGGCAACGAUGCGUAGCCGACCUGAGAGGGUGAUCGGCCACAUUGGAACUGAGACACGGUCCAGACUCCUACGGGAGGCAGCAGUGGGGAAUAUUGCGCAAUGGGGGAAACCCUGACGCAGCAACGCCGCGUGGGUGAUGAAGGUCUUCGGAUUGUAAAGCCCUGUUUUCUAGGACGAUAAUGACGGUACUAGAGGAGGAAGCCACGGCUAACUACGUGCCAGCAGCCGCGGUAAUACGUAGGUGGCGAGCGUUGUCCGGAUUUACUGGGCGUAAAGGGUGCGUAGGCGGAUGUUUAAGUGGGAUGUGAAAUCCCCGGGCUUAACCUGGGGGCUGCAUUCCAAACUGGAUAUCUAGAGUGCAGGAGAGGAAAGCGGAAUUCCUAGUGUAGCGGUGAAAUGCGUAGAGAUUAGGAAGAACACCAGUGGCGAAGGCGGCUUUCUGGACUGUAACUGACGCUGAGGCACGAAAGCGUGGGUAGCAAACAGGAUUAGAUACCCUGGUAGUCCACGCCGUAAACGAUGGAUACUAGGUGUAGGGGGUAUCAACUCCCCCUGUGCCGCAGUUAACACAAUAAGUAUCCCGCCUGGGGAGUACGGUCGCAAGAUUAAAACUCAAAGGAAUUGACGGGGGCCCGCACAAGCAGCGGAGCAUGUGGUUUAAUUCGAAGCAACGCGAAGAACCUUACCUGGACUUGACAUCCCUUGCAUAGCCUAGAGAUAGGUGAAGCCCUUCGGGGCAAGGAGACAGGUGGUGCAUGGUUGUCGUCAGCUCGUGUCGUGAGAUGUUAGGUUAAGUCCUGCAACGAGCGCAACCCUUGUUAUUAGUUGCUACCAUUAAGUUGAGCACUCUAAUGAGACUGCCUGGGUAACCAGGAGGAAGGUGGGGAUGACGUCAAAUCAUCAUGCCCCUUAUGUCCAGGGCUACACACGUGCUACAAUGGUAGGUACAAUAAGACGCAAGACCGUGAGGUGGAGCAAAACUUAUAAAACCUAUCUCAGUUCGGAUUGUAGGCUGCAACUCGCCUACAUGAAGCUGGAGUUGCUAGUAAUCGCGAAUCAGAAUGUCGCGGUGAAUACGUUCCCGGGCCUUGUACACACCGCCCGUCACACCAUGAGAGCUGGUAACACCCGAAGUCCGUGAGGUAACCGUAAGGAACCAGCGGCCGAAGGUGGGAUUAGUGAUUGGGGUGAAGUCGUAACAAGGUAGCCGUAGGAGAACCUGCGGCUGGAUCACCUCC